CGCCCGUUAGCUCAGUUGGUUAGAGCGUUGUGCUAAUAACGCGAAGGUCGUGGGUUCGAUCCCCCCACGGGCCA
rnacentral:tRNA from 1 species